UUUGGCUGUCCAAUCGCGUGACUGUGGACAUUUGAAAGCAGACUUCCGCCCGCCUUUUCUACCGUUGGAAAUGCAAGAUGCGGCGACUUGACUUCAGACACCGAGAGAGGCUGGCGGCCCAGGUCUUGUGGCCACAUCUGUCCAAGCUCCUACUCUGAUUGAACAGUUGGAUGAUCAGACUGAUGAUGAAAAGUGCUACACAGUUCUCACACAUCUUCUGACUCCGAAGCCGCUGCAGUGUAAAAUCUGAGAUGUCUUUUCUGGUUGAUUUUGUGCAGAUUUCUGACAGCGACAGCGAUGGUGAGGGAAGCAGUGUACCGAACUCUCAGAUGACUCGGACCAGGUGACCAAACCCAUGCAAAGCACAAUGUGAGUGUACACACACACACACACACACACACACACACACACACACACACACAC